rnacentral:tRNA from 1 species
GGAGAGGUGCCGGAGCUGGCCGAACGGGCUGGUUUCGAAAACCAGUGUAGGUCCUGCCUACCGAGGGUUCGAAUCCCUCCCUCUCCGCCA